AGUCGUAACAAGGUUUCCGUAGGUGAACCUGCGGAAGGAUCAUUACUGUGAUUUAUACACCACACUGCGUGGGCGACACGAAACACCGAAACCGAACGCACGCCGUCAAGCAAGAAAUCCACAAAA
rnacentral:misc_RNA from 1 species